AUGCCGAAGCACUACCGCCCCGCGGGCAAGAAGAAGGAGGGGAACGCCGCCAAGUACAUCACCAGGACCAAGGCGGUCAAGUACCUGCAGAUCAGCCUCGCCGUCUUCAGGAAACUAUGCAUUCUCAAGGGAGUGUUUCCCAGGGAGCCCAAGAAGAAGGUGGAGGGGAACCACAAGACCUAUUACCACAUGAAGGACAUCGCCUUCCUUGCCCAUGACCCCUUGAUUGAGAAGUUCAGAGAAAUCAAGGUUCACAGAAAGAAAGUUAAAAAGGCUAUGGCUAAGAAAAACAGGGAUCUGGCGGACAGAUUGUUGAAUCGACCACCAACUUACAAACUUGAUAGACUUAUCAUUGAAAGAUAUCCAUCUUUUGUUGAUGCCCUCAGAGACUUGGAUGAUUGCCUAACGAUGGUGCAUUUAUUCGCGGCUUUACCUGCUAUUGAAGGUGAACGUGUGCAAGUACAACGAAUCCAUAACUGCCGCAGGUUAAGCCAUGAAUGGCAAGCAUAUAUUUCUCGAACUAAUUCCCUGCGGAAGACAUUCAUAUCUGUGAAGGGCAUAUACUACCAGGCUGAAGUUCAAGGGCAAAAGAUCACUUGGCUUACUCCGCAUGCUCUUCAGCAAGUUUUAACUGAUGAUGUCGACUUCAAUGUGAUGCUCACCUUUUUGGAAUUCUACGAGACUCUUCUAGGAUUUGUGAACUUCAAGCUUUACCAUUCCAUAAAUGUGAACUAUCCGCCUAUUCUGGAUCCUCGUCUAGAAGCUUUGGCUGCUGAGCUCUAUGCAUUGUCCCGGUAUAUGUCUUCUGGAAGACUGCCGGGAAAUCCAGAGUCUAAUGGGCUUAUUGAAGACAAAGAGACUGAAAAUAAUAAAGAGAGCUCAAAAACUGACGAGUCUGAGCUCAGAUUGGCACAGCUUCAACAUCAGCUACCUGCUAAUGAACCUGGUGCGUUAAUGCAUCUUGUAGAAGAAUCAACUGCUGAUGAUACAGAAGAGGAAAGCGUUAAAGAGUGCAGGACUUUAUUCAAAGAUCUGAAGUUCUACUUAAGUCGUGAGGUUCCCAGGGAGUCUCUCUUGUUUAUAAUUCCGGCAUUUGGAGGAACUGUUUCGUGGGAAGGAGAAGGAGCUCCAUUUGAUGAAACAGAUCAAGAUAUCACCCAUCAGAUUGUUGACAGGCCAACCCAGAGCCAUGUUUUCCUCUCCAGGCAUUAUGUUCAACCACAAUGGAUUUUUGAUUGCGUAAACAUUCUCAAAGUAAUUCCCACAGAUGACUAUAUUGUUGGAAGGGUGCCUCCACCACAUAUAUCUCCUUUUGUGGACAACGAUAAAGAGGGUCAUAUACCUGACUAUGCAGUGACCUUGGAGGGAUAUAAAUCUGCUGGUCAAAACCAAGUUAUGCCUCUGCCAGGUUUAGGUGAUGAAGAUCUGGGCAAUUCGAUAGUAGAGGCAAAAUCUGAGCAUAAUGAAUUUGCUAAAAAGAAGAAGGAGUUGGAGAUGCAAGAGAAGAAAUACCACGAGGAGCUGAAGAUGGAAAUCGAGGGAACUACUUUCUCUAAUUUGUCAAAUAAGAAGGCUGAUAGCGCAGCCGAUGUUACUGAUGAAGAUGAUGAGACCCAGGCAGCUAUGGAACAAGCUGAGAAGGAUGCUGACGACAUUGCCAAGUCUGUCGUUUCCAGGAAGAAGAGAGGCCUUAUGGAAGCAAUGAAGAUUAGCAAUGAUAGGAAGAAGAGCAAAGUGGAGCUGCUCAAGCAAAGGAAGAAGGCGGCCGAGUCCAGUGCUUCUGCUAAAGCUAAACGUCGCUGA
rnacentral:rRNA from 1 species